rnacentral:rRNA from 1 species
AUGACGAGUGGAGACCGUAAUAGGGUGUUCUUCCAAACAUAUGCAUCAGCAAGGAGAAAGAGAGAUUUUGUGAAGAGAUUAAAGGAUGAUGGAGGUAAUUGGCUUGAAGCCGAAGAUGUCAGGAAGGCAGUGUUCAGUAUUGGAGACAUAAAGGCCCCGGGACCUGAUGGCCUUCAUGCAAUAUUCUUUAAAAAAUACUGGCAUAUCCUGGGAGACGAGAUCACAAAGGAGGUUCUUCAUGCAAUUAAUUCUAGGGUAAUCCCAGCUGAUUGGAAUGGAACCACGAUUGUCAUGAUACCAAAAACUGAUGGCCUUGAACUGAUAACACAAUUUCGCCCUAUCAAUCUUUGGAGUGUUUCAUAUAAGAUCAUUUCUAAAUUGUUAGCCUUCGGGCUAAAGAGUAUUUUGCCGGAGAUCAUUUCCCCUACGCAAAGUGCCUUUGUCCCAAGAAGAAUGAUCACUGACAAUAUCUUGAUAGCAUAUGAGUGUGUGCAUAAAAUCAAGAACAAAAGGGCUGUUCAGACAGUGGAUUGA